rnacentral:rRNA from 1 species
AUGCAUUGGGUAAUUUCCAUAUUUUAUAUAUGUGUGCAAUCUUCUGAGCUUCUAGUUUCUGAAAACAUAUUAUAUAUGGCUGCUAUACUGGUUCUCUCUUUUCUUUUCUUUUCAUUUUUGAGGAGAACGAUUUUUGUAUGGAGGUGGAACUGCGGUUCUAGCAGAGUGCAGAGCCGCAGAGGCCAGCGAAGAGAUGUGUGGUCAUGCAGCAAAGAAUUUCUACUGGCUGAAAAUACGAAUCAGAAGUUCAUGUCAAUUUGGCGGUAUCAUGUGUGGCGCUAUAUAUGUUUCAUCAGUAUCUAUUCAAACCUGAAGCUCCCAAAGGGGGGUAUUGGAUGGUGA